rnacentral:tRNA from 1 species
GAAAUAUAUAAUUUAAGAAAAAGCUGCUAACUUUUAUCUUUAGCGAUUAAAAACGUUAAUAUUUCU